rnacentral:tRNA from 1 species
GGCCCGGUAGCUCAGUUGGAUAGAGCCGCAGACUUCUAAUCUGCUGGUCGUGGGUUCGAGUCCCUCCCGGGUCG